AUUGAACGCUGGCGGCAUGCCUUACACAUGCAAGUCGAACGGUAACGCGGGGCAACCUGGCGACGAGUGGCGAACGGGUGAGUAAUGUAUCGGAACGUGCCCGGUUGUGGGGGAUAGCUGCUCGAAAGAGCAGCUAAUACCGCAUACGACCUGAGGGUGAAAGCGGGGGAUCGCAAGACCUCGCGCAAUUGGAGCGGCCGAUAUCAGAUUAGGUAGUUGGUGGGGUAAAGGCCCACCAAGCCAACGAUCUGUAGCUGGUCUGAGAGGACGACCAGCCACACUGGGACUGAGACACGGCCCAGACUCCUACGGGAGGCAGCAGUGGGGAAUUUUGGACAAUGGACGCAAGUCUGAUCCAGCCAUGCCGCGUGCGGGAAGAAGGCCUUCGGGUUGUAAACCGCUUUUGUCAGGGAAGAAACGCUCUGGGUUAAUACCUCGGGGUAAUGACGGUACCUGAAGAAUAAGCACCGGCUAACUACGUGCCAGCCGCCGCCGUAACAC
rnacentral:rRNA from 1 species